rnacentral:rRNA from 1 species
GGAAACAGAUGCUAAUACCGCAUAACAAUAAGAAUCGAAUGUUUCUUAUUUAAAAGAUGGUUUUCGGCUAUCACUUUAGGAUUGGACCUGCGGCGUAUUAGGCUAGUUGGUAAGGUAAUGGCUUACCAAGGCGAUGAUACGUAGCCGACCUGAGAGGGUGAUCGGCCACAUUGGGACUGAGACAACGGCCCAA